CAAUGUGUUUAGCCAAGGAAAAGGCAACCGAGAACAGCAGUUCCAUCUCUGGUUCGACCCUACCGCAGCUUUCCACACCUACACCAUCCUCUGGAAUUCUCAAAGAAUCAUGUAAGUUCCGUUUCAGUUAGUGCUUACACGGCUUAGUAACCAGUUAUAAUUGUCUCUAACUAGUUAUACGGCCUUUGUAAUAAGUUAUAAUCGUCUGUAACUUGUUACACGACUUAGUGAUUACCCAUAUUCGAUACUCCGGGAUCCAAUUAAUUAACAACAAUGUUGUCUUUGUGCAGAUUCUUGGUGGACAACAUUCCGAUCAGAGUGUUCAACAACCUGGAAUCAAUGGGAGUUCCAUUCCCCAACAAGAAGCCAAUGAGCAUCCACUCGAGCUUAUGGAACGCUGAUGACUGGGCCACGCAGGGCGGCCGAGUGAAGGCCGACUGGACCAAGGCUCCUUUCGUCGCAUCUUACCGGAACUUCAAGGCCGAAGCCUGCGUCUGGUCACCAUCCUCGUCCUCCUCGACUUGCUCUCCCGGAGCAUGGCAGACUCAGGGGAUCGAUGCCGCCGGCCGUAACAGAAUCCGAUGGGUACAGAGUAAAUAUAUGAUCUACAAUUACUGCACAGACUUGAAACGAUUCCCUCAAGGCGUUCCAGUUGAAUGCAAACAGUCCAGAUUCCUUUGAACCAAGAAUUUGAAUGUAAAAUAUUUAUUACUUUGUAUGUAAUUCAUCCAUUUUGUCUAGUUCUUCAUUCCUUUCGUUCAUCAUUUCAUUAUUUCUGGCUCUGUGAUUCUAUUGAAAUAAACAAUAUUGUGAAAUCAAAACAGUUGCAGCGAACAAAUCCGUUAAGGAACACUCGUAGUAAUGUCGUUUCGACAGCUAGAAUCGAAAGUUGCAGGCCUUUCGAAUUAAACCAAGUACUGGGAUUCUCAUUGAUACUCUGUUUCGAAGAACAAUCAAAACCGAAGAACACGUAUCAUGUCAAUAGGACCAAGGAAUUGUUCGAAGAACAGACUUCACAAUAUCAUCUAUAUGUAAUAUAGAGAGAGUGGAACUGGCAGAGCAACAAAGCCAAAACCUGGAAUCGUUUCUGUUCAGCAAGCAUGGAAAAUUGCAGUGAACAAUGAACACACUACUGUAACCAACCCAGAAUAUACUAACAUGUUCAGAGAAACACACACAAACUAAACCAGGAACAAAAGAGCUACCAAAUUCUCACAGCUUGAGCAGAGAUUAGUAGAUUACCCUAAUCUUGAAGAAAAGCAUUCAUCAUCACUGUCUCCUUGCAUAGACGAGAUAGGCAACUGCUGCAGCAGCAAGGGCAGCUCCGGUGGAUCCAAUCACCAGUACCGGCCACUGAACACUCAGCUCUUUAUCCUCAUUGUCUUCAAUAUCGAAUCCAUUGAUACUCUCGUAAGCUCUCUGUUUCAGAGUGAUGAUAGCUUUCUCAGCCUCCUCAGCUUGUUUCUGCAACUCGGCCAUCUUAGAUUCCAUCUCCUUCGUUCUGUUCUCCGAGACCUUAAGUUCCUCCGUAAGAUCAGGCUUCUCAGCCAGCUCCUUCUGCAACUCCUCAAUCCUCUUCCUGUACUUCUCCAUCUGAGCUUCUUUCUCAGCGAUUUGGUCUCUAGUCUCUUCCUCCAUUCUGAUCUUCUUACUCUUCUCCUCGAUCUCCUUCAUCUGCAGAACUCCGACCUUCCUCUCCAGCUCCCUUACUCUCUUAUCGUUCUCUUCCUUCUCUUUCCACGCCUCCUGGACUUUAGCUUCCAUAACCGCUAUCUCCUUCUUCAACUCGACGAUCUCGGCGUUGUAUUCAUCGCCCUGGCUCAUGGAUGCGAUCAGAUCGCGCUGCAGUUUCGAAACCUCCGAUUCUAGCUGCUCGGCUCUUUCCGCUAUGGAUUCGAGAGUCUUCCUGCUCGCCUCCGACUGCUCUAGCUCUUUCUCCAGUUCCUCAAGCCUCUCCUCCAUCGAUUCGGUUUUCAGUGACUCGAUCUCCUGCCUCAGCUUCUCAAUCUGGUUCUUGAAUUCUUCAUUCUCCUCGAUUAGAGACCCGUUCCUACUCUCCAGCGAUUCAAUCUUGUUCUUCAGCUUCACUUCUUCGUUGCUGUCAUCGCCAAUACCGUCGGAACUAUCGAUUGUCACUGACUCGUGAUUCUCCUCCUCCGUCGGAGUCGUAAUACCGUUAGUAUCAGUGUUCACCUUCUCAUCAGCCAUCAUCAAAUCCUAAGAAUAAUCACAGUUGAAUGAAAUGAAAAGAAUCGUCAGAUAACGGAACAUCGGCGGUAAAAGAUCAAAUCGAUUCACCAGUAGAAGGAAAACUGAGACGAACUUUACCUUCGUUUUCCCGGGAGGAAUGGAAGCGCGGAGGAAAAUGAAGAAAAUGCGAAAGCGGCUGAAAUGGAAAUAUUUCCGAGGGAAUAUUUUAUUGUAGGGUUUUUCUGAUGAUCGAUCGAUGGUUGCUUUUUGUCGAUCGGAAUAUAGGUGGACGGAUGGACGGCGGAUAUUGGUCCUGGAGGGACGAUAGAAAAAGGAAACUGAAAAAGAUUGCCUUUUCCGCGUGGGGAGCACGUUCGUGGUGCAUCGGAUGCCGUUUGGGAUAAAUGGGGCCCAGUUUGUUUUGGGUUUUCCGAGCCCGUUACAGCUUGAUUGGGCCGGAUGGCCUUUAAAAAGAGCUGAUCCAGCCCAUAAUAAGAGAACCGAAUCAGGUUGAAUGGGCACGAGCUACUCAAUUCGAUUUUAUAGUCUUGGUAGGGGGAAUGACAUGGAUGGUUAGGGCGGUAAGAUAUGAGACGGACCCCUUGGUGUAUCAUGAUUUGAAUUUUUUUGAACGCAACCUCUAGCUAGUAGCGGGUGUUGUGAAAGGACAGACCGUUUAAUGCGAGAAUAACCACUUGUUCAAACCGACCAAAUUUUGUUGGGGGUAAAAAUGAAAACCCUCAUAAACAACUCUCAAAACAUUAACACCAAUUAAAUUAUAUCAAAACCACUCAUUAAGAAGAGUAAGAGAAACAAUACAAAGAAUAAUUUGAAGGUAUGAAUAAAUUAAUUACUUAACAUAGAGAAAGAAUAUGAAUGAAUUGAAUGUUGUUACAAAAAGAAAUUAAAGGAACCUAGUCUGCUUGCAUUCAACUGGAACUCCCUGAGGGAACCGUUUCAAGUCAGUGCAGUAAUUAUAUAUCAUAUAUUUACUCUGCACCCACCGGAUCCUAUUCCGGCCGGCGGCAUCAAUCCCCUGAGUCUGCCACGCUCCCGGAGUGCAAGUCGAAGAGGCCGACGACGGCGACCAAACACAAGCCUCUGCCUUGAAGUUUCUGUAAGAAGCUAUGAAAGGAGCCUUGGUCCAGUCGGCCUUGACUCGGCCGCCUUGGGUAGCCCAGUCGUCGGCGUUCCAUAAGCUCGAGUGAAUGCUCAUCGGCUGCUUGUUUGGGAAUGGCACUCCCAUUGAUUCCAAGUUGUUGAACACUCUGAUCGGAAUGUUGUCCACUAAGAAUCUGCACAAAAAGACGAGAUAUGCACGUUGUCGUUAGUUAAUUGGUUCACGGUGUAUCGAAUGUGGAUUAUCAAUAAGUUGUGUAACAGGGUGUAGAAGAUUUUAACCUAUUAUAAGCGAUUAUAACUGGUUAUAGAGAAUUAUAACUAGUUAUACUACACCGUGUAAUGAGUACUACGACGAAACUUACAUGAUUCGUUGGGAGUUCCAGAGGAUGGUGUAGGUGUGGAAAGCGGAAGUUGGGUCGAACCAGAGGUGGAAUUGUUGCUCUCGGUUGCCUUUUCCUUGACUGAACACAUUGGUAUGGAGGGUGUAAGGGUUUCCGGUCGAAUUGCCAAGGAAUUCGAAGUCAAUUUCGUCGUGGUUCGAUCCUUCCGAUGACAACUGUAUAACGAAAAUAGCAAAUCGUUUAGCUCUAUCGGAUGGACUCAAAGUUAGGAUGAUAUACUAAGACUACCAAAAAAUGAUGACUUACAUAAAAUGUGGUGACACUUCCGGCGGAGUUGCCGGCAAUGAGCUUGAGUUGCAUAUCGAUACGGCCGAAGAGGUACUCAUUUUUGGACUUGAAUCCGGCGCCGGAAUCCUUAUCGAGGGAGAGUGUCAACUGCUGGCCGGUGUUCAUGAUCUGAGCGUGGUGCUGACCCCAUGUGACGUCGAAAUGCUGGUGGAAGUUCGCAUUUGAGACGGCCAUUAUAUGACCCAACAGUACCAAUGUCGACAUUAUCAGAGGCAGAGUCGCCAUUGCUGAAGAAAUUGAGAAGGGAUUGAUGAGUGCUUGAGGAUUUGCAGAUAUGAGUUCUGGGUUGUGAAGCUUUGCUUUAUAUAUAAGUGGAAAACGCGGCUUAUAGCAGCUGGCUGAGUGCUCUUUAUUUUAUUUUGGUUGAGGGUUGAGAGUGGUGACAGCUAAACACGAAGCUUCUUAGCUUCUUCCACAGAAAUAUGGGGGUUGAUAAUGGAGAUAUAUAUGUGUUCUUUUUGUCGUAGUGCGUAUUUUAUUAAUUCAAUUGCAAAUGAUGCAGAAACGAACAAAAAUACACCGUAAGAACUCCGUCUCCUGGCCCGGCGGUGGACGGUGGUGGGUCUCACUAAAUGGAAAAAUAUCGUUUCAAAAAAUUGUGUCUUUUUUAUGAAAAAGUUUCGUAACCGAAGAAUCAAAAUAGUAUACCAAUUUAAGUAUAAAGAAACAACAAAAAGAUCGGUUUGUGUUUGUCACUAGUAAACCCUCGAGUUGGAAACAAUAAACGACGAUGACAACAUUCAAUGACUGUUUUCUAGGUUCAAUAUGUAUUUGUGUUCCGGUAAUUUUUUUCCGUGAACUCCAAACCAAUUGUCACAAUAACCGUUUAUAGGCUCCUAUACCCGAUUAUCAUUCUCAAAAUCGAUUAUCGGUUCGGGUGCCACAACCCUAAAUUGUCUUUCAUCACAACACCCUGAGUAAUCUUUGUAGCUACAACUUUGGAUUACACAGCGGGACAGAUGCAAAUUGGGUGGAUGGGAAGUGGGAACAUGUCAUUAAUUAUUCUAUCACACAACAUUAAUACAAAGUCAAACCGCGUUGAAUCAUACUUAGAAGGCACUAAUUAACAGCUAAAAUGUUAAGUAACGCACUUGAUUAUUAAGAUGUGCAUUCCAGCAAUAAUGAACAGGGGAAGAACCCACCGAAGCUUUCAUUUCAAUUCAUCACUAAAAUAAUGCGGAAUUUCCCCAUUAUAAAUAAGCAAAUGAUCCAGAAAUCAAACAUCAUCCAGUAAUCUUCUCACUUUUGCUCAUCUCUUCCCUUUCCAGACUUCCAUUCUUUUCUUAUCUGCAGCAAUGGCGACCAGUACUCUGCCUCUGUUAAUGGUGUUGGCGUGUCAUUUAAUGGCCAUCUCAAAUGCAAACUUCCACCAGCAUUUCGACGUCACAUGGGGUCAGCACCAUGCUCAGAUCAUGAACACCGGCCAGCAGUUGACACUCUCGCUCGACAAGGAUUCCGGCGCCGGAUUCAAGUCCAAAAACGAGUACCUCUUCGGCCGUAUCGAUAUGCAACUCAAGCUCAUCGCCGGCAACUCCGCCGGAAGUGUCACCACAUUUUAUGUAAGUCAUCAUUUUUUGGUAGUCUUAGUAUAUCAUCCUAACUUUGAGUCCAUCCGAUAGAGCUAAACGAUUUGCUAUUUUCGUUAUACAGUUGUCAUCGGAAGGACCGAACCACGACGAAAUCGACUUCGAAUUCCUUGGCAAUUCGACCGGAAACCCUUACACCCUCCAUACCAAUGUGUUCAGUCAAGGAAAAGGCAACCGAGAGCAACAAUUCCACCUCUGGUUCGACCCAACUUCCGCUUUCCACACCUACACCAUCCUCUGGAACUCCCAACGAAUCAUGUAAGUUCCGUCUUAAUACUCAUUACACGGUUUAAUAACUAAUUAUAAUUCUUUGUAAUAAGUUAUAAUCCUUUAUAACAGGUCAUAAUCGUCUAUACCAUAUUACAUUCGAAACACCAUGAUGAAAUUAACUAACGAC
rnacentral:lncRNA from 1 species